ensembl:snRNA U6 U6 spliceosomal RNA
AUGCUUGCUUCGGUAGCACAUAUACUAAAGUUGGAACAAUAGAGAGAUUGGCAUGGCCUCUGUGCAAGAAUGACAUUGCAAAUUUGUGAAGCAUUCCGCAAUUUU